AAAGCUCAGUAACACGUAGUCAACCUACCCUAUGGACGGGGAUAAUCUCGGGAAACUGAGCAUAAUACCCGGUAGACCACUUAUCCUGGAAUGGUUAGUGGUUAAAAUGAUUCGUCGCCAUAGGAUGGGACUGCGGCCUAUCAGCUUGUUGGUGAGGUAAUGGCCCACCAAGGCGAUUACAGGUACGGGCUCUGAGAGGAGAAGCCCGGAGAUGGGUACUGAGACACGGACCCAGGCCCUAUGGGGCGCAGCAGGCGAGAAAACUUUGCAAUGUGCGAAAGCACGACAAGGUUAAUCCGAGUGAUUUCUGCUAAAGAAAUCUUUUGCCAGUCGUAAAACCGCUGGUGAAUAAGGGGUGGGCAAGUUCUGGUGUCAGCCGCCGCGGUAAAACCAGCACCUCAAGUGGUCAGGAUGAUUAUUGGGCCUAAAGCAUCCGUAGCCGGCUUUGUAAGUUUUCGGUUAAAUCCAUGUGCUCAACGCAUGGGCUGCCGAAAAUACUGCAUAGCUAGGGAGUGGAAGAGGUAGACGGUACUCAGUAGGUAGGGGUAAAAUCCUUUGAUCUAUUGAUGACCACCUGUGGCGAAGGCGGUCUACCAGAACACGUUCGACGGUGAGGGAUGAAAGCUGGGGGAGCAAACCGGAUUAGAUACCCGGGUAGUCCCAGCUGUAAACGAUGCAGACUCGAUGAUGCAUUGGCAUAAUAGCCAUUGCAGUGUCGCAGGGAAGCCGUUAAGUCUGCCGCCUGGGAAGUACGUACGCAAGUAUGAAACUUAAAGGAAUUGGCGGGGGAGCAC
rnacentral:rRNA from 1 species